UACGUAGGGUGCAAGCGUUUGUCCGGAAUUAUUGGGCGUAAAGAGCUCGUAGGCGGUCUGUCACGUCGGCUGUGAAAUCCCGAGGCUCAACCUCGGGUCUGCAGUCGAUACGGGCAAACUAGAGUAUUGCAGGGGAGACUGGAAUUCCUGGUGUAGCGGUGAAAUGCGCAGAUAUCAGGAGGAACACCCGUGGCGAAGGCGGCUCUCUGGGACGGUACUGACGCUGAGACGCGAAAGCGUGGGGAGCGAACAGG
rnacentral:rRNA from 1 species